rnacentral:tmRNA from 1 species
GGGGUCGACUGGUUUUGACAGCGAGUCUAAUUGAGUUGUAAGCACGUCGAGCGCUGGGAUAUAGCUCGUAAAUCUCAUGUUUCACACUUUUUUAAACGGCGAAAAUAAUUACGCCUUAGCUGCGUAAUCUGAACUAUAGUAAGAUUACCUUAACCUAUGUAAGACAUAGGGCUAAGAUGUCUCUGGAAAGCCUUGAUUUAUGGCGUUCCACCAAGAGGCACCGAUAAAAUAAAUCUAGGUAGCUUGACACCUUUAAGAGCUAUUGAAAUUUUAAAGGUUACGGAAAAAUUGGGAGGUUUUCUGCCAGAUUUUUCCCGACAAUUAAAGUGAAAAAUAAACGUGUAGAAAGCAGCUGAAUUGCUUGUUUGGACGGGAGUUCGAAUCUCCCCGACUCCACAA